rnacentral:lncRNA from 1 species
GGGGCCGUGACGAAUGGCUCAGAAAAGAGGGUGCUGUGAGAAACUGGAGCUGCUCUGGCGGAGUGGGUGAGAGACUGAGGAACCAGCAUGAAGUCCAGGGCUGGUGGCACCGUGAUGCACAGGGUGGAACCGCUGUGCUGCUCCCCCUGGGAAGGCCAAGAUGUACAUGGGUCAAUCAGAGCAAGGGCUGUAUGUGGGAUGGCUCUGCUCACUGUGACAUCCCCCCCCUGCUCCUGGUGCUGUGGGGCCCACUGACAGGGUUCUCAGCACCUGCAGGAGGACACGAGGAGAGAGAACAUCCCUGAUGUGCAUCCUGCACCUUGCUCGCCCAAGGCCAGGGCAGCUCCACCAGCAGCUCCUCGCUGACCCUUCCUGCACCCUGCUCCCUCAGCCCCAGCUCUCCAUCCUCAGCCCCAGGGAUGGAUCCUGCUGUCCUGCUGCCCACAGCAGGGUCCGGCCGGCAGCCUGCAGGGGACGGGCCUGGCAGGCUCCAGCAGCAGGAGGGCUCAUGCAUUACAAUCCAGUACAAUCUGUCCCCCUUCCCGCUGCCCAGCAGUAGGGGAGACGGUUACUGUUUAAUCCCAUUUGACAGCUCUUUCAUCAUCUGCCUGCCUCCCUCCAGCUUCCCCGUGGUUCCUCCAAGGCUCCUUUGUGGCCAUAAUCAAAGCCUGGUAACAAACCCUAAAGGAAGAUUUCAGGGUGAGCACACGGGGAGCUCAUCUGUUUCCCCAGAAGACUGAAGCCAAGCACAGAAUCCAGCUCUGUGGUGUGCAGAGCUGCUCACAUCUCCCAGCUCCCAGUUGUGAGUGCUCACAGCUUGGCACACCUGCACACAGAGCCAAGGACACAGUGCAGGGGGGAAGAGCCAGGUUUGGCUGCAACCCAUCUUCAGUAACCUCUAUGUUGGCACGAGGAUGGCAUGACCCGACAGCCCCGUGCCCUGCACCCAUCCAUGGCUGGGGACCCUGCACCGUGAUGUCGUUG